GACGAACGCUGGCGGCGUGCCUAAUACAUGCAAGUUGAGCGCUGAAGGUUGGUACUUGUACCAACUGGAUGAGCAGCGAACGGGUGAGUAACGCGUGGGGAAUCUGCCUUUGAGCGGGGGACAACAUUUGGAAACGAAUGCUAAUACCGCAUAAAAACUUUAAACACAAGUUUUAAGUUUGAAAGAUGCAAUUGCAUCACUCAAAGAUGAUCCCGCGUUGUAUUAGCUAGUUGGUGAGGUAAAGGCUCACCAAGGCGAUGAUACAUAGCCGACCUGAGAGGGUGAUCGGCCACAUUGGGACUGAGACACGGCCCAAACUCCUACGGGAGGCAGCAGUAGGGAAUCUUCGGCAAUGGACGAAAGUCUGACCGAGCAACGCCGCGUGAGUGAAGAAGGUUUUCGGAUCGUAAAACUCUGUUGGUAGAGAAGAACGUUGGUGAGAGUGGAAAGCUCAUCAAGUGACGGUACUACCCAGAAAGGGACGGCUAACUACGUG
rnacentral:rRNA from 1 species